GUAGGUAUAGUUUAACCAAAAUAUUAGAUUGUGAUUCUAAAGACAGGGGUUAAAACCCCCUUAUCCACC
rnacentral:tRNA from 1 species